rnacentral:rRNA from 1 species
AUACGGAGGGUGCGUAGCGUUAUUCGGAAUUACUGGGCGUAAAGCGCGUGCAGGCGGGUGGAAAAGUCUGAUGUGAAAGCCCCGGGCUUAACCUGGGAAGUGCAUUGGAAACGGUUCGUCUUGAGUUCUGGAGAGGAUGGGGGAAUUCCCGGUGUAGAGGUGAAAUUCGUAGAGAUCGGGAGGAAUACCAGUGGCGAAGGCGCCCAUCUGGACAGUAACUGACGCUGAGACGCGAAAGCGUGGGUAGC